AUUGAACGCUGGCGGCAUGCCUUACACAUGCAAGUCGAACGGCAGCACGGGUGCUUGCACCUGGUGGCGAGUGGCGAACGGGUGAGUAAUACAUCGGAACGUACCUUAUCGUGGGGGAUAACGCAGCGAAAGCUGAGCUAAUACCGCAUACGCCCUGAGGGGGAAAGCGGGGGAUCGCAAGACCUCGCGCGAUUAGAGCGGCCGAUGCCUGAUUAGCUUGUUGGUGGGGUAAAAGCCCACCAAGGCGACGAUCAGUAGCUGGUCUGAGAGGACGAUCAGCCACACUGGGACUGAGACACGGCCCAGACUCCUACAGGAGGCAGCAGUGGGGAAUUUUGGACAAUGGGGGCAACCCUGAUCCAGCAAUGCCGCGUAAGUGAAGAAGGCCUUCGGGUUGUAAAGCUCUUUUGUCAGGGAAGAAACACCGGCUCUAACACAGUCUGGGAAUGACGGUACCUGAAGAAUAAGCACCGGCUAACUACGUGCCAGCCGCCGCCGUAA
rnacentral:rRNA from 1 species